rnacentral:rRNA from 1 species
CACUCCUGCGGGAGGCAGCAGUGGGGAAUUUUGGACAAUGGGCGAAAGCCUGAUCCAGCCAUGCCGCGUGCAGGAUGAAGGCCUUCGGGUUGUAAACUGCUUUUGUACGGAACGAAACGGCCUUUUCUAAUAAAGAGGGCUAAUGACGGUACCGUAAGAAUAAGCACCGGCUAACUACGUGCCAGCAGCCGCGGUAAUACGUAGGGUGCAAGCGUUAAUCGGAAUUACUGGGCGUAAAGCGUGCGCAGGCGGUUAUGUAAGACAGUUGUGAAAUCCCCGGGCUCAACCUGGGAACUGCAUCUGUGACUGCAUAGCUAGAGUACGGUAGAGGGGGAUGGAAUUCCGCGUGUAGCAGUGAAAUGCGUAGAUAUGCGGAGGAACACCGAUGGCGAAGGCAAUCCCCUGGACCUGUACUGACGCUCAUGCACGAAAGCGUGGGGAGCAAACAGGAUUAGAUACCCCUGUAGUCCCAUG